rnacentral:rRNA from 1 species
AGCGAACGCUGGCGGCAGGCCUAACACAUGCAAGUCGAACGGAGCCUUCGGGCUUAGUGGCGGACGGGUGAGUAACACGUGGGAACGUACCUUUAGGUUCGGAACAACUCAGGGAAACGUGAGCUAAUACCGGAUAAGCCCUUCGGGGGAAAGAUUUAUCGCCUUUAGAGCGGCCCGCGUUAGAUUAGCUAGUUGGUGAGGUAAAGGCUCACCAAGGCUACGAUCUAUAGCUGGUCUGAGAGGAUGAUCAGCCACACUGGGACUGAGACACGGCCCAGACUCCUACGGGAGGCAGCAGUGGGGAAUCUUGCGCAAUGGGCGAAAGCCUGACGCAGCCAUGCCGCGUGAAUGAUGAAGGUCUUAGGAUUGUAAAAUUCUUUUACCAGGGACGAUAAUGACGGUACCUGGAGAAAAAGCCCCGGCUAACUUCGUGCCAGCAGCCGCCGUAA